UACGUAGGGUGCGAGCGUUGCCCGGAUUUAUUGGGCGUAAAGGGCGCGUAGGCGGCUCGGCACGUCCGUUGUGAAAUCCCUGGGCUCAACCCAGGAAUUGCUUCGGAUACUGGCGUGCUUGAGGCUAGUAGGGGUCACUGGAACUGACGGUGGAGCGGUGAAAUGCGUAGAUAUCGUCAGGAACGCCGAUGGUGAAGACAGGUGACUGGGCUAGUUCUGACACUGAGGCACGAAAGCGUGGGGAGCGAACGGG
rnacentral:rRNA from 1 species